rnacentral:rRNA from 1 species
CCUACGGGAGGCAGCAGUGGGGAAUUUUGGACAAUGGGCGCAAGCCUGAUCCAGCAAUGCCGCGUGCAGGAUGAAGGCCUUCGGGUUGUAAACUGCUUUUGUACGGAACGAAACGGUGAGCUCUAAUACAGUUUGCUAAUGACGGUACCGUAAGAAUAAGCACCGGCUAACUACGUGCCAGCAGCCGCGGUAAUACGUAGGGUGCGAGCGUUAAUCGGAAUUACUGGGCGUAAAGCGUGCGCAGGCGGUGAUGUAAGACAGAUGUGAAAUGCCCGGGCUCAACCUGGGACCUGCAUUUGUGACUGCAUCGCUAGAGUACGGUAGAGGGGGAUGGAAUUCCGCGUGUAGCAGUGAAAUGCGUAGAUAUGCGGAGGAACACCGAUGGCGAAGGCAAUCCCCUGGACCUGUACUGACGCUCAUGCACGAAAGCGUGGGGAGCAAACAGGAUUAGAUACCCUGGUAGUCCACGCCCUAAACGAUGUCAACUGGUUGUUGGGUCUUCGCUGACUCAGUAACGAAGCUAACGCGUGAAGUUGACCGCCUUGGGGGUGUUAGGCGCGAGGUUGAAGUAAGUUAGAGUUGAGGNGNGAGAGNGCGAGGACGACGACGAGGGAGUAG